AGGACGAACGCUGGCGGCGUGCUUAACACAUGCAAGUCGAGCGGAAAGGCCCUUCGGGGUACUCGAGCGGCGAACGGGUGAGUAACACGUGAGCAACCUGCCCCUGGCUCUGGGAUAGCCUCCGGAAACGGGGAUUAAUACCGGAUAUUCACUGUCUUCCGCAUGGUUGGCGGUGGAAAGUUUUUCGGCUGGGGAGGGCUCGCGGUCUAUCAGCUUGUUGGCGGGGUAACGGCCCACCAAGGCGACGACGGAUAGCCGGCCUGAGAGGGCGAUCGGCCACACUGGGACUGAGACACGGCCCAGACUCCUACGGGAGGCAGCAGUGGGGAAUAUUGCACAAUGGGCGGAAGCCUGAUGCAGCGACGCCGCGUGGGGGAUGAAGGCCUUCGGGUUGUAACCCUUUCACCAGGAGCGAAUUCAGACGGUACCGUGGGAAGAAGCGCCGGCGUAACUACGUGCCGAGCAGCCGC
rnacentral:rRNA from 1 species